CCUGACGCAGCACGCCGCGUGCGGGAUGAAGGCCUUCGGGUUGUAAACCGCUUUCAGCAGGGACGAAAUUGACGGUACCUGCAGAAGAAGCCCCGGCCAACUACGUGCCAGCAGCCGCGGUAAUACGUAGGGGGCGAGCGUUGUCCGGAUUUAUUGGGCGUAAAGAGCUCGUAGGCGGUUGGGUAAGUCGGGUGUGAAAACUCAGGGCUCAACUCAGAGACGCCACUCGAUACUGCCCUGACUCGAGUCCGGUAGGGGAGCGUGGAAUUCCCGGUGUAGCGGUGAAAUGCGCAGAUAUCGGGAGGAACACCAGUGGCGAAGGCGGCGCUCUGGGCCGGAACUGACGCUGAGGAGCGAAAGCGUGGGUAGCAAACAGGAUUAGAUACCCUGGUAGUCCACGCCGUAAACGUUGGGCACUAGGUGUGGGACUCUAUCGACGGGUUCCGUGCCGUAGCUAACGCAUUAAGUGCCCCGCCUGGGGAGUACGGCCGCAAG
rnacentral:rRNA from 1 species